rnacentral:rRNA from 1 species
CUGGCGACCGGCGCACGGGUGAGUAACACGUAUCCAACCUGCCGAUAACUCGGGGAUAGCCUUUCGAAAGAAAGAUUAAUACCCGAUAGUAUAAUCAGACCGCAUGGUUUGAUUAUUAAAGAAUUUCGGUUAUCGAUGGGGAUGCGUUCCAUUAGGCAGUUGGUGAGGUAACGGCUCACCAAACCUUCGAUGGAUAGGGGUUCUGAGAGGAAGGUCCCCCACAUUGGAACUGAGACACGGUCCAA